AAGAGGUGAAAUAUUUACAUGAAUUAAAAUACAUUGUAAUUGUGCUAGUUGGAAAACAAACGGAAGAGAGAUGAGGCGUUCGGCUGCGUGCAUUUUCUGUUUGCUUUUUUGCGUUUUCUGUUUGCUAAUCAUGGUUUAGGCCUGGGCAUGGACUCAUUGAUAUUUGCUCAUGGGCUUUCGGGCCCUUAAUUUAGCUAUCCACGUGACCACAACAGUUAUUUUGAUGGGGUCAGCGACCACUUUUUGCUGGGUUCAUGUGAAUCAAAUAGUAGCUACACGCUGUUGGUUUUGAUCUGAUGGCUUAACAGGCAGUUAGAUCUAUUAGUCUAACAGAAAAAAAAGAAAAAGAUAAUGAUAAUGAAAAGGCCCCACGCACCAACGUACGUGGGCUUUUUAUCCCAACUAAGGCGCCCUGAUUGGGGGCACCCAAACCAAUUGAUGGUUUAGGUUCCCUGUCGCCAACGCUAGAUAAAAGGGGGUACGGGAGAGGGUUGGCAGCCUGCGCGAUCACAAUUCUCGUACAGUUUCACUCCCCUCCCGAUAUUCUCUUACCCCAUCCGAUCAGGGGGAGCGCUGCAGCGACGGGAAGACCUACUCCAGCCGCCGCUGCCGUCCCCGGCCAAUCCCGGUGGCGUCUUGAAGGAAUCAGGACGUCGAUGAGAACCUCUGCUUCGACUACAUCACGCCUGCACCGAGCAGGCGAUCAUGUCGACUCCCGUGACGUCUUCCGCUGCGUUUACUGUCGAACCGUUGACAGGUAGUAACUUCCCUCGUUGGAAGAACUCGAUGGAAUUAUGCCUAGCCGUCCAUCAGUUUGAUUAUGCUUUACGGGAGGAUAAACCCGUGGCUCCCACUCCUGGUGUCACGGGGUAUGCUGAACUAAAGAAAACUUAUGAUUCCAAGAUGGAGAUAUGAGAAAAGUCAAAUCACAUUGCUAUGCUUGUGAUGAGAUCAUCCAUAUCACCUCACAUAAUUGGGGCACUACCCAAGAAAGAUACUCCUAAGGAAUUCAUGGCAGCCCUGGAGGAGCAAUUCAAAGGCUCCGACAAGGUUUAUGCGCAAGAACUUUUUCACAAGCUCCUUGGGAAGUAUAAUAAUGAUGGUGAUGUCAGGGCUCACAUUUUAAAGAUGGUGAAUGCUUGUAACAAAUUGAAGGCAUUACAAUGUGAGCUCAAUGACAAUCUCUUUGUCAUCAUGAUCUUGGACUCCCUCCCUGAAGAGUUUGAUCAAUUUAAGAUUAACUAUAACUCUCUUAAAGAGAAAUGGACAAUCGCGAAGAUAUCUCCAAGAAUUGUCGAGGAAGAAGAGAGGAUUAAGAGGCAAGGAAAGGACCAAGCCUUUUUGGUUGGUUCCUCCAAGAGAAAGCACGAUGGAGCAAGCUCUUCUAAGCAACAGCCACAAAAGAAGUUCUUUAAGAAAAAUUCAUCAAACUCAUAUAAAGCAAAGGAGAAGGUGGACGAUAAGCCUAAAGACAACAAGUGCAACUUCUGCAAGCAUGAGGGUCAUUAUCAGAAAGACUGACUGUCCAAAAUUUCUCAAAUGGUUGAUGAAGAAAGGACUCAAGUAUAAUCCAAACCAUGGCAAAGGGGGCAAGAAGACUUAAGGUGGAAAAUGGAGUCGAAGUUGAUGUUGAAGCCAUAGGGUCAAUCACCUUAGAACUCCACACUGGCUUCCGUCUUCAUUUAACUAAUGUUCUUUACGUCCCUACCUUAAGUAGGAAUUUGAUUUCUGUCUCUUGCCUAAAUGAUAACAUGUUUGAAAGCAAGUUUGGGAACAAACAAUUUGUUUUGAAUUAUUGUAAUAAGAACGUAGGCCUCGGCGUCAGACGUGGCCAAUUAUAUAUGUUAUCA